rnacentral:rRNA from 1 species
CCUACGGGAUGCUGCAGUGGGGGAUAUUGCACAAUGGGGGAAACCCUGAUGCAGCGACGCCGCGUGGGUGAAGAAGCGCCUCGGCGCGUAAAGCUCUGUCAGCAGGGAAGAAAAUGACGGUACGUGAAGAAGAAGCCCCGGCUAACUACGUGCCAGCAGCCGCGGUAAUACGUAGGGGGAAAGGGUUAUCCGGAUUUACUGGGUGUAAAGGGGGCGCAGACGGCGAUGCAAGCCAGGAGUGAAAGCCCGGGGCCCAACCCCGGGACUGCUCUUGGAACUGCGUGGCUAGAGUGCAGGAGGGGCAGGCGGAAUUCCUGGUGUAGCGGUGAAAUGCGUAGAUAUCAGGAGGAACACCGGUGGCGAAGGCGGCCUGCUGGCCUGCAACUGACGUUGAGGCCCGAAAGCGUGGGGAGCAAACAGGAUUAGAUACCCCUGUAGUC